AGUAAUGACUCCGCUCCCAAAAGGCCAAUUGAAAAAUUAUAUGAUCUCAUUCGAAGAGCUGUCAGGGCAAUGCGGAUGCAUGACAUAGGCCUGCCGUAGUCGUUUGCUUCAUUGCAAGAUAGAAAUGUGACUCAUGCGGAAGUCGAACAGGUCGGGCCUCAGCUGUCAGGUUGACAGGGAAAGCAGUACAAAGGCUGAGGGUGAGCUGGAGCCCAUUCCAGCUCACAUCGGGCGAGCCGGUUACACCCCAAACUGGUCGCAAGUCAGUCGCAGAGCACAUGGAGGCAAGGGGUGUCGUGAAAACAAUCUUGAACAGCAGCUGCUUUCAACUAAACUGUUUUAAAUAUGUCAAGCAUGUGGUUUCGUUUAAACAGUGCAUCUCUGUUAGACAUCCGGCUGGGAUGUUGUUUGACAGACAAGUACAAGCAGGCUUUUAUCCUCGUUUCGGACCAGGUUCUAGGAUUUUUAAUGAAACCAGAACAGGCUGCUCGGCGAUCAUCCUGUUGAGUUCAUUGUCCCACUUUUCUUGGCUUCUAUGGCAACAGGCAGAGCAUGACAUUGUGUUCAAACAUAGGGUUGGGUGAUUACUUGGAGUGCAUUGGUCAUGACGAUCCUUUAUUUUAUAUCAAUUUAUUUAGUUAAACUUUUGACCCCGCCCCAAGAUAUUUCCUUUUUUGCUGAAAUCGCCUCGCCUGACCGAACGUUAGAAUGCUAUCUUGUCCAAUGUUAAAAUACAUGUUUUGGGAAACGAUAUAUACAAAACUUUAUUUUCUGAUUCCUGUCUUUAUAUCGUUAUCUAUAUAUUUCCGUGUGGAUGCAUGUGUGUAUAAAGGUUCUCUAAAGCCCAAAUUCUUCAAAUAAAAUUUAAAGAAACAUAAAACUCAGAAGCAACUUGAAGCUUAUUUAUACCAAUUUAUAUCUGGUGUGCAUCUCGCACAAAAGUGGAUUUAAUAAAUAUUUCGAUACAUGGGAUGCCGGUUCAAAUAUGAGAGACAAAAUGAAGGCAUUAUUUAAAAAAACAAAAAUUGCACUUACCAACCAGUCAUAUUCUUGUGCACUUGUCAUCGCUUUAGCGCCAAUGAUUUGAAAGAGAAAAAAAAAGUUUACAAGGAAAUUGCGCCAUCAACAAUAUAACAAACAUAACAAAAUCUUGCUCGUAUUGCUUUGAGACUGUGGG